GUCCCUGUAGCGCAAUGGAUAGCGCGUUGGACUUCUAAUCCAAAGGUCGUGGGUUUGAAUCUUACCUGGGAUG
rnacentral:tRNA from 1 species